CCUACGGGGGGCAGCAGUGGGGAAUAUUGCGCAAUGGGCGAAAGCCUGACGCAGCGACGCCGCGUGAGGGAUGAAGGUCUUCGGAUCGUAAACCUCUGUCAGCAGGGAAGAACGGUCACUGUGCUAAUCAGCAGUGAAUUGACGGUACCUGCAAAGGAAGCACCGGCUCACUCCGUGCCAGCAGCUGCGUUAAUACGGAGGGUGCGAGAGUUAAUCGGAAUUACUGGGCGUACAGCGCUCGUAGGCGGUAUGUCAAGUCAAGGGUGAAAUCCCCGCGCUCAACGUGGGAACUGCCUUUGAAACUGGUAAGCUGGAGGGUGUGAGAGGAUAGUGGAAUUCCAGGUGUAGGAGUGAAAUCCGUAGAUAUCUGGAGGAACAUCAGUGGCGAAGGCGGCUAUCUGGCACAUAACUGACGCUGAGGAGCGAAAGCGUGGGUAGCAAACAGGAUUAGAUACCCCGGUAGUC
rnacentral:rRNA from 1 species